GAAACCCGGUGAUCUAGCCAUGGGCAGGUUGAAGGUUGGGUAACACUAACUGGAGGACCGAACCGACUAAUGUUGAAAAAUUAGCGGAUGACCUGUGGCUGGGGGUGAAAGGCCAAUCAAACCGGGAGAUAGCUGGUUCUCCCCGAAAGCUAUUUAGGUAGCGCCUCGUGAAUUCAUCUCCGGGGGUAGAGCACUGUUUCGGCUAGGGGGCCAUCCCGGCUUACCAACCCGAUGCAAACUGCGAAUACCGGAGAAUGUUAUCACGGGAGACACACGGCGGGUGCUAACGUCCGUCGUGAAGAGGGAAACAACCCAGACCGCCAGCUAAGGUCCCAAAGUCAUGGUUAAGUGGGAAACGAUGUGGGAAGGCCCAGACAGCCAGGAUGUUGGCUUAGAAGCAGCCAUCAUUUAAAGAAAGCGUAAUAGCUCACUGGUCGAGUCGGCCUGCGCGGAAGAUGUAACGGGGCUAAACCAUGCACCGAAGCUGCGGCAGCGACGCUGAUGCGUUGUUGGGUAGGGGAGCGUUCUGUAAGCCUGUGAAGGUGGCCUGUGAGGGUUGCUGGAGGUAUCAGAAGUGCGAAUGCUGACAUAAGUAACGAUAAAGCGGGUGAAAAGCCCGCUCGCCGGAAGACCAAGGGUUCCUGUCCAACGUUAAUCGGGGCAGGGUGAGUCGACCCCUAAGGCGAGGCCGAAAGGCGUAGUCGAUGGGAAACGGGUUAAUAUUCCCGUACUUGGUGUUACUGCGAAGGGGGGACGGAGAAGGCUAUGUUGGCCGGGCGACGGUUGUCCCGGUUUAAGCGUGUAGGUGUGUGUUCCAGGUAAAUCCGGUUCACUUUAACACUGAGGCGUGAUGACGAGGCACUACGGUGCUGAAGCAACAAAUGCCCUGCUUCCAGGAAAAGCCUCUAAGCAUCAGGUAACAUCAAAUCGUACCCCAAACCGACACAGGUGGUCAGGUAGAGAAUACCAAGGCGCUUGAGAGAACUCGGGUGAAGGAACUAGGCAAAAUGGUGCCGUAACUUCGGGAGAAGGCACGCUGACAUGUAGGUGAAGUGAUUUACUCAUGGAGCUGAAGUCAGUCGAAGAUACCAGCUGGCUGCAACUGUUUAUUAAAAACACAGCACUGUGCAAACACGAAAGUGGACGUAUACGGUGUGACGCCUGCCCGGUGCCGGAAGGUUAAUUGAUGGGGUCAGCGCAAGCGAAGCUCCUGAUCGAAGCCCCGGUAAACGGCGGCCGUAACUAUAACGGUCCUAAGGUAGCGAAAUUCCUUGUCGGGUAAGUUCCGACCUGCACGAAUGGCGUAAUGAUGGCCAGGCUGUCUCCACCCGAGACUCAGUGAAAUUGAACUCGCUGUGAAGAUGCAGUGUACCCGCGGCAAGACGGAAAGACCCCGUGAACCUUUACUAUAGCUUGACACUGAACAUUGAGCCUUGAUGUGUAGGAUAGGUGGGAGGCUUUGAAGUGUGGACGCCAGUCUGCAUGGAGCCGACCUUGAAAUACCACCCUUUAAUGUUUGAUGUUCUAACGUGGACCCGUAAUCCGGGUUGCGGACAGUGUCUGGUGGGUAGUUUGACUGGGGCGGUCUCCUCCUAAAGAGUAACGGAGGAGCACGAAGGUUGGCUAAUCCUGGUCGGACAUCAGGAGGUUAGUGCAAUGGCAUAAGCCAGCUUGACUGCGAGCGUGACGGCGCGAGCAGGUGCGAAAGCAGGUCAUAGUGAUCCGGUGGUUCUGAAUGGAAGGGCCAUCGCUCAACGGAUAAAAGGUACUCCGGGGAUAACAGGCUGAUACCGCCCAAGAGUUCAUAUCGACGGCGGUGUUUGGCACCUCGAUGUCGGCUCAUCACAUCCUGGGGCUGAAGUAGGUCCCAAGGGUAUGGCUGUUCGCCAUUUAAAGUGGUACGCGAGCUGGGUUUAGAACGUCGUGAGACAGUUCGGUCCCUAUCUGCCGUGGGCGCUGGAGAACUGAGGGGGGCUGCUCCUAGUACGAGAGGACCGGAGUGGACGCAUCACUGGUGUUCGGGUUGUCAUGCCAAUGGCACUGCCCGGUAGCUAAAUGCGGAAGAGAUAAGUGCUGAAAGCAUCUAAGCACGAAACUUGCCCCGAGAUGAGUUCUCCCUGAGACUU
rnacentral:rRNA from 1 species